AGGUAAGCUACUAAGAGCGAAUGGUGGAUGCCUUGACUGGUAAAGGCGAUGAAGGACGUACUAGACUGCGAUAAGCUACGGGGAGCUGUCAAGAAGCUUUGAUCCGUAGAUUUCCGAAUGGGGCAACCCAAUGUAUAGAGAUAUACAUUACCUAUAUAGGAGCGAACGAGGGGAAUUGAAACAUCUUAGUACCCUCAGGAAAAGAAAUCAAUAGAGAUUGCGUCAGUAGCGGCGAGCGAAAGCGCAAGAGGGCAAACCCAGUGCUUGCACUGGGGGUUGUAGGACUGCAAUGUGCAAGAGGUAAGUUUAGCAGAACAUUCUGGAAAGUAUAACCAUAGAGGGUGAUAGUCCCGUAUGCGAAAAACAAACCUUAGCUAGCAGUAUCCUGAGUAGGGCGGGACACGAGGAAUCCUGUCUGAAUCUGGGUCGACCACGAUCCAACCCUAAAUACUAAUACCAGAUCGAUAGUGCACAAGUACCGUGAGGGAAAGGUGAAAAGAACUGAGGUGAUCAGAGUGAAAUAGAACCUGAAACCAUUUGCUUACAAUCAUUCAGAGCCCUAUGUAGCAAUACAGGGUGAUGGACUGCCUUUUGCAUAAUGAGCCUGCGAGUUGUGGUGUCUGGCAAGGUUAAGCAAACGCGAAGCCGUAGCGAAAGCGAGUCUGAAUAGGGCGCUUAGUCAGAUGCUGCAGACCCGAAACGAAGUGAUCUAUCCAUGAGCAAGUUGAAGCUAGUGUAAGAACUAGUGGAGGACUGAACCCAUAGGCGUUGAAAAGCCCCGGGAUGACUUGUGGAUAGGGGUGAAAGGCCAAUCAAACUUCGUGAUAGCUGGUUCUCUCCGAAAUAUAUUUAGGUAUAGCGUUGUGUCGUAAUAUAAGGGGGUAGAGCACUGAAUGGGCUAGGGCAUACACCAAUGUACCAAACCCUAUCAAACUCCGAAUACCUUAUAUGUAAUCACAGCAGUCAGGCGGCGAGUGAUAAAAUCCGUCGUCAAGAGGGAAACAACCCAGACUACCAGCUAAGGUCCCUAAAUCUUACUUAAGUGGAAAACGAUGUGAAGUUACUUAAACAACCAGGAGGUUGGCUUAGAAGCAGCCAUCCUUUAAAGAAAGCGUAAUAGCUCACUGGUCUAGUGAUUUUGCGCGGAAAAUAUAACGGGGCUAAAGUAAGUACCGAAGCUGUAGACUUAGUUUACUAAGUGGUAGGAGAGCGUUCUAUUUGCGUCGAAGGUAUACCGGUAAGGAGUGCUGGAGCGAAUAGAAGUGAGCAUGCAGGCAUGAGUAGCGAUAAUUAAUGUGAGAAUCAUUAACGCCGUAAACCCAAGGUUUCCUACGCGAUGCUCGUCAUCGUAGGG
rnacentral:rRNA from 1 species